rnacentral:lncRNA from 1 species
GCAGUUUGCAGUGUUAAAGUACAAGCAUUACUGUCAGUAAAUCCGCAUCACAUAACAGGUACCUGUAAACGCCAUCCAUUCAUCCUAUAUGGACAACGCUGAAUUUGAUUUAAACAUUUUCCUCUCUUUCUGUCUUUUCCAGGCUAUCUGACCACAAAACUGGCCAACAGACACAGCUGGGAAACACACUACAGCACAAAGAAAAAAUCAUAAGGGUUGGGAGGAGUUUUUUUCCCCUCUACAGAACUGUAAUUGGGCCUUCUAUUUUAUUUUUUAGUGUCUGCAACUUCAGCACGCUGUGAGUAGCUAGAAAGCUCAGUUUCUGACAGAGGACAAUGGGAUGGUGGCAUAUCCACCAUCUAAAGGACUGCAAACAAAAUCUGCAGAGCUAUUUUUGU